rnacentral:rRNA from 1 species
GACGAACGCUGGUGGCGUGCUUAACACAUGCAAGUCGAACGGGAUUUCGUAAACAGAAGCCUCGGUGGAAGAUUACUAAUGAGAGUGGCGAACGGGGGAGUAACGCGUGAGCAACCUGCCUAUGACAGUGGGAUAGCCUCGGGAAACCGGGAUUAAUACUGCAUAAAAUCGUAGAAACACAUGUUUUAACGGUCAAAGGUCUAUCGGUCAUAGAUGGGCUCUCGUCUGAUUAGCUAGUUGGUGAGAGAACAGCCCACCACGGCGACGAUCAGUAGCCGGUCUGUGAGGAUGAGCCGCCACAUUUGCGCUGAGACACGGUCCGAACUCCUACGGAAUGCAGCAGUGCCGAAUGGUGCACAGUCGGGGAAGCCCUGAUGGAGCUACGCCACGUGAACGCAGAUGGUAUUCGUAUCGUAAAGUUCUGUUCUAUGGGAAGGUAAUGACGGUACCAUAGAAGAAAGCUCCGGCUAAAUACGUG